AUUAUAUGAAAUUAUAUUGAGUAAAUCGAUGAUUUCCAUUUCAUGAAUUAUCUAGUGGAUGUUUAUUGCAUCCUAACUGCUUAUGUGAUCUAUAAUAUUUUAUUUAAUGUGAUCGACUCGAUUUGGUUAGAUAAUUGAGUAACUCUAUCUAUGUGAUUAAAUGAAUUAUGUGCUUUAAACGAAUAAUUAAUCUAUGCUAAUAUUGAUAUUAAAUUUAGAUUAUAGUGAUUUGUUUCUCAUGUACAUGCUUAAUUAUAAUUUAUAUGGUCUCAUGAAAAUUAUGAUAUGAUAAUUAAUCUAUGCAAUGUAUCUUUAAUUGUUUUACGAUUUAUGGUUUAAUGAAUGUAGAUACAUAUAUGUGAAUGUUGUGCUACGUGAGUUAUGAUGUAGUAAUUAAUCUAUGCAAUUUAUCCCUAAAUGUUUUAUGAUUUAACGAGUAUAGAUAUAUCUGUUUGAGCUGUGUAUAUAUAUACCAUGUGUGUGCCUUAUGUGUGUAGUGUGUGUAUGUGCCGUAUAUGUGCUGUACUAUAUAUGCGUAUUAAGUUGCCAGGUAUUAAAGGAUUAAGGAAAUCAUUGAAUUGCAAAUAUUUGAUUAAUUGCUAUUAAGACCCCAAUGGUUUUAGAUAUUGCAUUACAGUCCUUGGGAAAUUUCCUCCUAAUUUCCUAGUAUAAGCCAAGGAAGAUUCCUCCUCUUUCCUUCUCAAUUUACCUGCGGCGGUUCCUUCUUCUUCUUAAAGAAGAAACGAGGAUUUUGGUCUGGACUCUUCUUCCUCUCAUUCCACGGCAGCUUCACCCGAAGACUCAAUGAAACUCAUCAAAAUUUCCCCUUCUUCUCUGGGGAGUUUGACAUCUAAUUAAUGGGAUUGAUUUCCCUAUAAAAUUCCCCAAAACCAUCAAGAGGAUCGGACAGGGGAUAGCUCCAAGUUCAGCCCCAAAAGCCUUCAGCCAAAGCUCCGAGAAUCCUUCGGUUUCCUCUUCUUCCUUGUAUUCGAUUUUCUUCAAAGAGUAUAGGAAGUCAGAAUCUUAAAUGGCUAUCGGUCGAGUAGACACGGAAAUACGGAGGGGCCGGUAUUCCAACUACGGUACUAUAGACUAUAGAGUGGAUAGCUUCCAUUAAUAAACGGGCUCAAAAUAUCGACGUCUAUUACCGAUAACCAUGUUAUAAAUCUGAUAGGUAUCCCGUCAUAUUGCAUUUAUGCGUUAUAUAUGUUAAUACAGACUAUAGAGACUUGAUGUCUAUAUGUACUACAACUAAUUGGUCGAUGCAUCCCCAUGUUAAUACAACAUUUUGUUUAUGUGAGUACACCUUGUGAGUAUACGUUAAGCAGGGGAAACUCGUCGCCCAUGUCAAGGUUGAGGUUCUCGAAGCAGUUAUGGAAACUGGUGGAGCGGAGUUCGAGGAAUCACGAGCUUUUAUACCGACCGACUAUUUUCAAAGAUUAUAUCAGUCACUUUCUCUUUAAGUGUUUUAAUUUGAGAAGUUUUUAUAAUGUACUCUCCUUAGGAAUCUAGUCUAUUAAACCGGGGUGUAUGUAAAAUAAAGUUAUUUUGUGUUCCGCUGUAUUACAAGUAUUGCUUUAAAACCCCGUCUAUGUUGAAGUAGCACUCUUUAUGAAAAUUAUAUCUUUCAAAUGUGGGUUAUGUUUUGAAGAAAGAAAAAUGCUUUGACGA